AAGAGACAGCAGUCGCCGCGGGAAUACGUAGGUGGCAAGCGUUGUCCGGAAUUAUUGGGCGUAAAGGGCUCGCAGGCGGUUUCUUAAGUCUGAUGUGAAAGCCCCCGGCUCAACCGGGGAGGGUCAUUGGAAACUGGGAAACUUGAGUGCAGAAGAGGAGAGUGGAAUUCCACGUGUAGCGGUGAAAUGCGUAGAGAUGUGGAGGAACACCAGUGGCGAAGGCGACUCUCUGGUCUGUAACUGACGCUGAGGAGCGAAAGCGUGGGGAGCAAAUGGGAUUAGAUACCCCUGUAGUCCCUGUCUCUUAUAC
rnacentral:rRNA from 1 species